rnacentral:rRNA from 1 species
UGGGGAAUUUUGGACAAUGGGCGAAAGCCUGAUCCAGCAAUGCCGCGUGUGUGAAGAAGGCCUUCGGGUUGUAAAGCACUUUUGUCCGGAAAGAAAUCCUUGGCUCUAAUACAGUCGGGGGAUGACGGUACCGGAAGAAUAAGCACCGGCUAACUACGUGCCAGCAGCCGCGGUAAUACGUAGGGUGCAAGCGUUAAUCGGAAUUACUGGGCGUAAAGCGUGCGCAGGCGGUUUGCUAAGACCGAUGUGAAAUCCCCGGGCUCAACCUGGGAACUGCAUUGGUGACUGGCAGGCUAGAGUAUGGCAGAGGGGGGUAGAAUUCCACGUGUAGCAGUGAAAUGCGUAGAGAUGUGGAGGAAUACCGAUGGCGAAGGCAGCCCCCUGGGCCAAAUACUGACGCUCAUGCACGAAAGCGUGGGGAGCAAACAGGAUUAGAUACCCUGGUAGUCCACGCCCUAAAACGAUGUCAACUAGUUGUUGGGGAUUCAUUUCCUUAGUAACGUAGCUAACGCGUGAAGUUGACCGCCGGGGGAGUACGGUCGCAAGAUUAAAACUCAAAUGAAUUGACGGGGUCAUAGCUGUUUCCU